AUCGCGAUAGCUCAGCUGGCAGAGCAUCCGCCCGAUAUGCGGAGGGUCGCCGGUUCGAUGCCGACUUUUCGAUG
rnacentral:tRNA from 1 species